AGGGAUGACCAUUAUCCCAGGAUGACAUGGAGGCCCCGGAUGCCUGAUAUAAGGGAGAUCCCCGAGGAGGAUAGUGAUCUCCCAAAAAAGAAAAAGAAAGUUACGACUGAUGCAUACCCCACUGAAGACGGACCCCAAGAGGAGGGACCUAAUUAUGACGGGCCUAAUGGUGAAGGACCCAAGGAUGAUGGCCCUAAUGAUGACGGCCCCAAU